CUACGGGGCGCAGCAGUGGGGGAUAUUGCACAAUGGGGGAAACCCUGAUGCAGCAACGCCGCGUGAAGGAAGACGGUUUUCGGAUUGUAAACUUCUAUCAGCAGGGAAGAAAAUGACGGUACCUGACUAAGAAGCCCCGGCUAACUACGUGCCAGCAGCCGCGGUAAUACGUAGGGGGCAAGCGUUAUCCGGAAUUACUGGGUGUAAAGGGUACGGAGGCGGCUGAUCAAGUCAGAUGUGAAAGCCCGGAGCCCAACUCCGGGACUGCAUUUGAAACUGGUCGGCUAGAGUGCAGGAGAGGAAAGUGGAAUUCCUAGUGUAGCGGUGAAAUGCGUAGAUAUUAGGAAGAACACCAGUGGCGAAGGCGGCUUUCUGGACUGUAACUGACGCUGAGGUACGAAAGCGUGGGGAGCGAACAGGAUUAGAUACCCUCGUAGUC
rnacentral:rRNA from 1 species